AUAUUGUUUCGAUAGUGCAAAAGCAUAUAAUUUCGGAUUAUGAAGACCAGCAGGGACAUGAGCUUGCAAUGCAUGUACUCUAUCACCUGCACAGUGUGGUGAACUCCUGCAAUGAGUUCUCGUCAUUUGCUGAGAGUAUAUAUGAGAAGGUUCUUCUGUCAGUGGCCAAAUCUCUGCAAGAUACUUUGCCGGCUUCAGACAAGUCC